rnacentral:rRNA from 1 species
GAGUAACACGUGGACAAUCUGCCCCCCGGCCCGGGAUAGCCCAGGGAAACCUGGAUUAAUACCGGAUGAGACGGGACCCGCGAUGGCGGGAUCCGGGAAAGGCGCUGCGGCGCCGCCGGGGGAUGAGUCUGCGUCCCAUUAGCUAGACGGCGGGGUAACGGCCCACCGUGGCGACGAUGGGUAGCCCGGCCUGAGAGGGUGGACGGCCACAUUGGAACUGAGACACGGUCCAGACUCCUACGGGAGGCAGCAGCUAAGAAUCUUCCGCAAUGGGCGAAAGCCUGACGGAGCGACGGCCCGCGUGAACGAAGAAGGCCGUGAGGUUGUAAAGUUCUUUUCGGGAGGGGGAACAACCGUGGCAGGGAAUGGCCGCGGGAUGACGUGAAUCCCGGAAUAAGCCCCGGCUAACUACGUGCCAGCCGCAGC